GUGGGGAAUAUUGGACAAUGGGCGCAAGCCUGAUCCAGCCAUACCGCGUGGGUGAAGAAGGCCUUCGGGUUGUAAAGCCCUUUUGUUGGGAAAGAAAUCCUGUCGAUUAAUACUCGGUGGGGAUGACGGUACCCAAAGAAUAAGCACCGGCUAACUUCGUGCCAGCAGCCGCGGUAAUACGAAGGGUGCAAGCGUUACUCGGAAUUACUGGGCGUAAAGCGUGCGUAGGUGGUGGUUUAAGUCUGCUGUGAAAGCCCUGGGCUCAACCUGGGAAUUGCAGUGGAUACUAGAUCACUAGAGUGUGGUAGAGGGAUGCGGAAUUUCUGGUGUAGCAGUGAAAUGCGUAGAGAUCAGAAGGAACAUCCGUGGCGAAGGCGGCAUCCUGGGCCAACACUGACACUGACGCACGAAAGCGUGGGGAGCAAACAGGAUUAGAUACCCGUGUAGUCC
rnacentral:rRNA from 1 species